rnacentral:rRNA from 1 species
GAUGAACGCUGGCGGCGUGCCUAAUACAUGCAAGUCGAGCGAACGGACGAGAAGCUUGCGUCUCUGAUGUUAGCGGCGGACGUGUGAGUAACACGUGGAUAACCUACCUAUAAGACUGGUAUAACUUCGGGAAACCGGAGCUAAUACCGGAUGAUAUUUUGAACCGCAUGGUUCAAAAGUGAAAGACGGUCUUGCUGUCACUUAUAGAUGGAUCCGCGCUGCAUUAGCUAGUUGGUAAGUUAACGGCUUACCAAGGCAACGAUGCAUAGCCGACCUGAGAGGGUGAUCGGCCGCACUGGAACUGAGACACGGUCCAGACUACUACGGGAGGCAGCAGUAGGGAAUCUUACGCAGUGGGCGAAAGCCUGACGGAGCAACGCCGCGUGAGUGAUGAAGGUCUUCGGAUCGUAAAACUCUGUUAUUAGGGAAGAACAUAUGUGUAAGUAACUGUGCACAUAUUGACGGUAACUAAUAAGAAAGCAACGGCUAACUACGUG